GAUGAAGAACGUAGCGAAAUGCGAUAAGUAAUGUGAAUUGCAGAAUUCAGUGAAUCAUCGAAUCUUUGAACGCACAUUGCGCCCGCCAGUAUUCUGGCGGGCAUGCCUGUUCGAGCGUCAUUUCAACCCUCAGACCCCUUCGGGGGACUUGGUGUUGGGGACCGGCACAGGGGCCUGCCUGCUUGUCUUGCAGCGCCCUCGCCGCCCCCGAAAUGAAUUGGCGGCCUCGUCGCGGCCUCCCCUGCGUAGUAGCACAACCUCGCAACGGGAACGUGACGGCGGCCACUGCCGUAAAACAACCCAAUUUUAUUAGAGUUGACCUCGAAUCAGGUAGGAAUACCCGCUGAACUUAAGCAUAUCAAUAAGCGGAGGA
rnacentral:misc_RNA from 1 species